AGGUCCUGCCUGCCCUGUGAUUUAUUUAACGGCCGCGGUAUCUUAACCGUGCAAAGGUAGCAUAAUCAAUUGUUCCUUAAAUUGGGACUAGUAUGAAUGGCGCCACGAGGGUUUAACUGUCUCCCCCUUUUAAUCAAUGAAAUUAACCUUCCCGUGAAGAGCCGGGAAUACGACUAUAAGACGAGAAGACCCCAUGGAGCUUUAAACUUAUUAGCACUUAUUAAAUAGCACAACACACUACCAAAUAAAAGUGUCUUAAAUAGUUUUUGGUUGGGGCGACCCUGGAGAAAAAUAAAUCCUCCAGACUGAAAGAAGUAAUAACCCUUAUAUAAGAACUACAAUUCAAAUAAACAAAAUUUUGACAAAACUGACCCAGAACUAACUGAUCAGUGAACCAAGUUACCCUGGGGAUAACAGCGCAAUCCAUUUCAAGAGUCCAUAUCGACAAAUGGGUUUACGACCUCGAUGUUGGAUCAGGGGAUCCUAGCAGCGCAGCCGUUGCUAAUGGUUCGUUUGUUCAACGAUUAAUACCCUACGUGAUCUGAGU
rnacentral:rRNA from 1 species